rnacentral:rRNA from 2 species
UGGCGGCGUGCCUAAUACAUGCAAGUCGAGCCAAUGAUGAGGAGCUUGCUCCUCUGAUUUAGCGGCGGACGGGUGAGUAACACGUGGGUAAUCUGCCUGUAAGACGGGGAUAACUCCGGGAAACCGGGGCUAAUACCGGAUAAUAAGAGAAGAAGCAUUUCUUCUUUUUGAAAGUCGGUUUCGGCUGACACUUACAGAUGAGCCCGCGGCGCAUUAGCUAGUUGGUGAGGUAACGGCUCACCAAGGCGACGAUGCGUAGCCGACCUGAGAGGGUGAUCGGCCACACUGGGACUGAGACACGGCCCAGACUCCUACGGGAGGCAGCAGUAGGGAAUCUUCGGCAAUGGGCGAAA